rnacentral:rRNA from 1 species
UACGUAGGGACCGAGCGUUGUCCGGAAUCAUUGGGCGUAAAGAGCGUGUAGGCGGCCUUUUAAGUCCUGCGUGAAAUCCUGCGGCUCAACCGCAGACGGUCGUGGGAAACUGGAAGGCUAGAGUCCGGAAGAGGAGAAUGGAAUUCCUGGUGUAGCGGUGAAAUGCGCAGAUAUCAGGAAGAACACCCGUGGCGAAGGCGGUUCUCUGGGACGGUACUGACGCUGAGACGCGAAAGCGUGGGGAGCGAACAGG